rnacentral:lncRNA from 1 species
AGAUCAUUUGAAGAUACAUGAACAUCCACGUGCCAGGAAGUAGGUAAGUGAUCACAUGAAGUCCUCAGAGGAGCAUAUGGGAAGCACUCAAGUGCUUCACUUGGGGGGAACAUGAUGUGAUUGUUUCCAUUUAUAGUUAUUAUUUCCUCAUAAUGAUUGUGAAUUGCUGAGGAUGAUUGACAUGUAAGUCAAUGGAUAGUUGAACCCCUGAACUCAUUGCCAGUAUUUGGUCCUUUGUAAGUUCUGAAGCCUCCAAACUUUUCACAGUACAGGGAACAUAAUUGCAGAUGAAUUAAGAGGUACAUACUAGAAUAAAUGAUGAAAAAGUUCUCAGAAUUAUCAAACAAUUUUUAAAGAGAGUAUUUCAAAGCUGGCCCAAGUUUUAGUCCACAUGCUUUGACCUGGUAGAAGAUACUUAUCUGCAGCUAAUGUUUUAUGUUGAGAAUUGGCUUUUGGGCUAAAUAGUGUGUUCUCCAUCUCCCAGUCUUAAAGCACACUAAUGAUAAAAACAAACAAACACCACACACACACACACACACACACACACACACACACCACACACACACACACACACACACACACACACACACACAAACUGAAACAAAGAAACUAAAAAACAGUGAUUAUUGUGGCAACUUCUUUCAGUAGUCCACAAUCCAUCCCUUUAAUGAUCUAGGCACUGCCAAUUUGAGGAAAUUGAAUGUGUGCAUCCACUCUUUGGAGACUGUCUAAAGGUACCAAUAGGGAACACUAUCCUACUUAAAAACAAAGGCAUUUGACUCCAAGCACUUCUCACUGACUGAAUGCCAAGGAAAUUGCUUGGUUUCUACAGUGUCUGGCAUUGCUACAGGCUCAAUGAUGCUACACACAUCUGCCAUCCUCCCUUCCUACAGGAUUCCCAGUGCUAUGCCUUGACCUAUUCCGCUAGUGUCUAGGUCAUUGGUUAUAAAGAUCAAUUGAUCGCAGGGUAAGUGCUGCUGAUGGCAGUUGGAAGACAAGGAGUGCUCAGAAGCUCAGUGUAACCCCCCCCACCACACACACACACACACACACACACACACACACACACACACCACCCCCUUAGCGUGAGCCUUCCUGGCUCAUGGUGUUAAAUCCCCUUCCUUCAUGACUUUGUCUCUCAUGCAUUGAAUAGGACAGAACAUUUCACCCAUUUCCUGUUGUGUCUAUAAAGGAUCCACUUUAGGGCAUAGUUCUCACGUUCCCAGAGCAUGUUUAAAAUGAAGCUAUACUUCUCAAUAUUAGUUCUCAAGGACUUCUAUGCCUGUGUCAUCUAAGUAAAAACUUACAGAAUAGUUGACAGAUUUGUCAGAUGGGCGUGGUUUCCUGGAAGUUAAAGUCAGCUAUCUUUUGGCCUUUUGUUCAUCUCACUAAAAAAAUAAUACGACCAAGAGGCAAACAUCUUUAAGAGUGAUUCUGGAAUGGUUGUGAUUUCCUCAGAGCAGGGAAUCUUAUUUAUUUAUUUAUUUGUAUUUUAUGUAUGUUCCUGUUUUUGCCUGCAUGUAUGUCUCUGCAUCUGUGGUGCCUGGUGCCCAAAGAGUCAGAAGAGAACAUCAGAUCCCCCAAAAGCAGAGCUAAGCAUGUUUGUGCCCAAUCAUGUGGGUGCUGGGAACAGAAUUGGUGUCCUCUGCAAGAGCAGGUAAUGCUCUUACUACUGAGCCACGUGGCUAGCCCCAUGUCAGGGAAUUCUUAUACCCAGUGUUUAUGUACUAUCCUGGUCUUCAUCUUGGAGAAUGUCCAUCACUCUUUUCCGUGCAGAGAAAUCAGCCUGUGGACACAGUCUAGGGACAGGACAUGAGCAACCUAAAAGCAUAAAGGAUUCAUGCUCUUCCAAAGAGAAGAGGACAUUUUUGAUUAAAUAGAGAAGUCUUGGCUUUUUAAACUAUGCUCCUUGAUCUUUCCCCCUGAACUGAUAUAGACACAUUUUGUUCCCCCCUUUUGUCUUAUUAUAAUAUGACAAGACAUUACUGACUGUGGCCCUGAUUAACGAUGUGAACAUGUUUCUUAAAUAUUUAUCCUAACAUACGGGGUGUUUAGGUUGCAGAUGUGUGAGAACAUUGUCAAGUUAAAAAUAACAAUGGAAUGUUGGGAUGCUAAGCCAAACCCACUGCUUGCCUUGAUAGUCUGCACCCUGGGAUUCUGACUGCAAAAAGUCAGCUGUUCACACCAUUACAGAAGUGAGCGUUUAGCUAGCAAAAAUCAUAGUGAGAAAGAAAGAAAAAGCCUCAGGAGACCUCCCUCUCAACUUCAGUGACUCCACAUUCUUUACUUGGGUGUGGGGUGAAGAGAGUCUCUCUUCUUUGUCUGUGUUAAAAUAAAUACAGCAAUAAAGUGCAGGAGACCCCAGCAUACCCUGGACAGUGAGGCAUCUUGGUCCUGAAAGGGAAAGCCUGGGGAGAAGAAAAUGAAGAACAGGCCAAAUCCCCCUUACAAUGACACCUUUAGAAUGUAGACAGGACAGCCACCAAGGCUGACUCUUAGCUCCCACACAGGAGGGAACACCUCUCAUGGGAGUAUGUACUAGGAACUUUUAUGUGAAUAUAAACCACUGGCAUAGGGGAGAAAGACAACAUUGGGUAGUCUGUGAUUUGUGUGGAGAGAGAUAAGGAUGCAGAUAGGGGUGUUACACUGGGGCAGGGGGAAGGGGGGUUCAGAGUCAGGAGUAGAGAUGGAAGGGAGAGUUCACUAUGACCACAGUUCAUUUCCUCGUCUUGUAUCUGAAAAGGCCAGAUAGGACAGAAGGAAUUAUGUGGACACAGAAUUAACACAGUCAGCUUAAUAGAGUCUGCCUUUUACAACAUCUGGAGAAGAGAAAGAGGAUUCAACAUCUAACAUACAGAAAAAAUACUUCACAGAGAUACACCCU